rnacentral:lncRNA from 1 species
AUUAAUGCAAUGAUCUUAAUUAUCAUCAUAAAAGUAUUCCAGAACAUGAGUACACCAGUGCAGUAUGAUUUUCAGGUUAUCCAACCAAAGUCUAAUAAUAGCAACUAGCGUAGCUACAACAUAAAUAUAGCAACCCAGGUUUAAUCAAGGAAGUUCAGAAGAAACUAGGUACAUCCUUAGUUUGGGAUCCAUCAUAUUCUAGACAUAUGCAUGC